AGCCUGAACCAGCCAAGUAGCGUGAAGGACGACGGCCCUACGGGUUGUAAACUUCUUUUAUAAGGGAAUAAAGUUCGCCACGUGUGGUGUUUUGUAUGUACCUUAUGAAUAAGCAUCGGCUAAUUCCGUGCCAGCAGCCGCGGUAAUACGGAGGAUGCGAGCGUUAUCCGGAUUUAUUGGGUUUAAAGGGAGCGUAGGCGGGCUUUUAAGUCAGCGGUCAAAUGUCGUGGCUCAACCAUGUCAAGCCGUUGAAACUGUAAGCCUUGAGUCUGCACAGGGCACAUGGAAUUCGUGGUGUAGCGGUGAAAUGCUUAGAUAUCACGAAGAACUCCGAUCGCGAAGGCAUUGUGCCGGGGCAUAACUGACGCUGAGGCUCGAAAGUGCGGGUAUCAAACAGGAUUAGAUACCCUGGUAGUCCGCACGGUAAACGAUGAAUGCUCGCUAUGGGCGAUAUAUUGUCCGUGGCCAAGCGAAAGCGUUAAGCAUUCCACCUGGGGAGUACGCCGGCAACGGUGAAACUCAAAGGAAUUGACGGGGGCCCGCACAAGCGGAGGAACAUGUGGUUUAAUUCGAUGAUACGCGAGGAACCUUACCCGGGCUUGAAUUGCAGGUGCAUGAGUCAGAGAUGAUUCUUUCCUUCGGGACUCCUGUGAAGGUGCUGCAUGGUUGUCGUCAGCUCGUGCCGUGAGGUGUCGGCUUAAGUGCCAUAACGAGCGCAACCCUUCUCCCCAGUUGCCAUCGGGUAAUGCCGGGCCCUCUGGGGACACUGCCAUCGUAAGAUGCGAGGAAGGUGGGGAUGACGUCAAAUCAGCAC
rnacentral:rRNA from 1 species